rnacentral:rRNA from 1 species
GACAGAGGGUGCAAACGUUGCUCGGAAUCACUGGGCGUAAAGGGCGUGUAGGCGGGAGGGAAAGUCAGAUGUGAAAUCCCCAGGCUCAACCUGGGAACUGCAUUUGAAACUCCCCUUCUUGAGUACCGGAGAGGAAAGUGGAAUUCCUGGUGUAGAGGUGAAAUUCGUAGAUAUCAGGAGGAACACCAGUGGCGAAGGCGGCUUUCUGGACGGUAACUGACGCUGAGACGCGAAAGCGUGGGGAGCAAACAGG